rnacentral:rRNA from 1 species
AACAGGAUUAGAUACCCUGGUAGUCCACGCCGUAAACGAUGUCGACUUGGAGGUUGUUCCCUUGAGGAGUGGCUUCCGGAGCUAACGCGUUAAGUCGACCGCCUGGGGAGUACGGCCGCAAGGUUAUAACUCAAAUGAAUUGACGGGGGCCCGCACAAGCGGUGGAGCAUGUGGUUUAGUUCGAUGCAACGCGAAGAACCUUACCUACUCUUGACAUCCACGGAAUUCGGCAGAGAUGCCUUAAUGCCUUCGGGAACCGUGAGACAGGUGCUGCAUGGCUGUCGUCAGCUCGUGUUGUGAAAUGUUGGGUUAAGUCCCGCAACGAGCGCAACCCUUAUCCUUUGUUGCCAGCGAUUCGGUCGGGAACUCAAAGGAGACUGCCGGUGAUAAACCGGAGGAAGGUGGGGAUGACGUCAAGUCAUCAUGGCCCUUACGAGUAGGGCUACACACGUGCUACAAUGGCGCAUACAAAGAGAAGCGACCUCGCGAGAGCAAGCGGACCUCAUAAAGUGCGUCGUAGUCCGGAUCGGAGUCUGCAACUCGACUCCGUGAAGUCGGAAUCGCUAGUAAUCGUGGAUCAGAAUGCCACGGUGAAUACGUUCCCGGGCCUUGUACACACCGCCCGUCACACCAUGGGAGUGGGUUGCAAAAGAAGUAGGUAGCUUAACCUCCGGGAGGGCGCUUACCACUUUGUGAUUCAUGACUGGGGUGAAGUCGUAACAAGGUAACC